CUGGGCCUACGGGGGGCAGCAGCGAGGAAUAUUGGUCAAUGGCCGCAGGGCUGAACCAGCCACGUCGCGUGAGGGAUGACGGUCCUAUGGAUUGUAAACCUCUUUUGUCAGGGAGCAAAGGGCGCCACGUGUGGCGCUUUGCGAGUACCUGAAGAAAAAGCAUCGGCUAACUCCGUGCCAGCAGCCGCGGUAAUACGGAGGAUGCGAGCGUUAUCCGGAUUUAUUGGGUCUAAAGGGUGCGCAGGCGGAAUGUCAAGUCAGCGGUAAAAUUUCGGGGCUCAACCCCGGCGUGCCGUUGAAACUGG
rnacentral:rRNA from 1 species